rnacentral:rRNA from 1 species
UACGAAGGGGGCUAGCGUUGCUCGGAAUCACUGGGCGUAAAGGGUGCGUAGGCGGGUCUUUAAGUCAGGGGUGAAAUCCUGGAGCUCAACUCCAGAACUGCCUUCGAUACUGGCGAUCUUGAGUCCGGAAGAGGUGAGUGGAACUCCUAGUGUAGAGGUGGAAUUCGUAGAUAUUAGGAAGAACACCAGUGGCGAAGGCGGCUCACUGGUCCGGUACUGACGCUGAGGUGGCGAAA